GGGUUUACUCAUUGGUCAGGCUUAAUUGUCUGUACUGGUGAGAUGAGUCUCUACCUUCUGAGGAACUUUCAUGCCAUUUAUUUGGUGUGGUUGGAAAUCAGGACUGUUACUUUGAAAAAAUUAGAGUGUUUAAAGCAGGCCUACGCUUGAAUACAUUAGCAUGGAAUAAUAGAAUAGGAC
rnacentral:rRNA from 1 species